rnacentral:rRNA from 1 species
CCUACGGGUGGCAGCAGUAGGGAAUAUUGCUCAAUGGGGGAAACCCUGAAGCAGCUACUCCGCGUGUGGGAUGAAGGUUUUAGGAUUGUAAACUCCUUUUGUUGGGGAAGAUUAUGACGGUAUCUAACAAAUAAGCACCUGCUAACUCCGUGCCAGCAGCCGCGGUAUUACGGAGGGUGCACGCGUUACUCGGAAUCACUGGGCGUAAAGAGUGCGGAGGCGGGGUAAUAAGUCAGAUGUGAAAUCCUGUAGCUUAACUACAGAACUGCAUUUGAGACUGGUACUCUGGAGUGUGUGAGAGGUAGGUGGAAUUCCUGGUGUAGGAGUAAAAUCCGUAGAUAUCAAGAGGAAUACUCAUUGCGAAGGCGACCUGCUGGAACACUACUGACGCUGAUGCACGAAAGCGUGGGGAGCAAACAGGAUUAGAUACCCCAGUAGUC